GUAUUGGAAUUUUCAUAAAAUGAGUUUUAAUAAAGGAACUUGUGUUUAUGGUUAAAACCGACAACAUGUCAAACCUAACGGAUCAAAACUGACAACUUUCGAAAGUGUUAAUUUUCUUUCCAAAACUGGAAAAACUUAUGUGGCAAAUUUGUAAAGACAAAAAACUAUACUAUUCUCUAAACCUUAGCAAAAAAUUUAGAAAAUAUAUUAUAAAGAAGUUAAUCCAUAUAACAACCACAAUGGUGAUAAAAACCCAAAAACUCUAAACUUCCGCCACAAAAACUAAAGAAAAAAAUAUUGUGGAGAAAACAAAAAGUAAGAAAAGUUCGCUGUUCCCUAACCCUUUGGGAAUUAAUCUCAAUUAGUUGUGGCAAAAGUCUAAACCCCACAUGAAAGAGGAGUAAAAGUGGCAAUCUCUACAAAAUUUUGUGUCAAAACUUGGAAGCUGAUAAAGUAUACUGUUCCCUAAACCCUUUGGUAAUUAAUAUAUAUAUGAAUGUGGUCCAAACCAAAGCAGAAAAUAAAAAAAUAAUAAUAAAAUAAAAAAUAAAAAAACAGCAGACACUAUUCACAAAGGGGCCUCAGGUUUAAUAGUUAUAUAAAUUACGAAUUUACCCUUUUUCAUACACACACGAAUAAAUUUUUGAAUUUUUUUUAAUUUGUUAUAAUUUCAGAUGAUCCUAAACUAAAAAGUGUGUAUGUUAUUGGGUGCCAAGUUGAGUUAAUCGAAUCAGUUCAAACUCAGGUUUGUUCCGGUUUGCGUUGGGUUUCUCGGAAUUGGAGAGUCUAAGGUCACCAAUUUAAGUCGAAGUUCAAUAGAUUGUAGGCUUAUGAUGAAUCUGAGGUUAUGGUUCUUAAAGGUGAACACACACUCCGAAUUCUCAAGUCUUUUUGCUGAAUGAACAAGUAUUCUAAAUUUCUAUUACUAGGUGUGUGGAAUCUGUUAUUUCAAUGACUACAACAAUUCCAAAAGGAUGUAUAAUUAUCAAACAUGAUGCUUAUCUUAUAGGAACCAAUUCUCAUAGAAAUCAAUAGUAAUUGAUUACUCUAUUGUAGCUCUUCAAUUUCAGAGUUCCACUGAAUGUUAUUGUUUUAACAAUU